ACGACCUUACUUGAACAGGAUCUGUUCUAUAGGCUCGUACCUCUGCAUCCUUGAUUACUAAGGAGACAGGAACCUAAGUCUGGUGGAUGAACCGUGACUGCAUGACCAGAGCGUGAUUAAUAGCUCUGUGGUUCGAUGGACCAUUAGAGCAGUAGAGGAUCGUUCCCAGUCAGUUCCAUCUGGCUGGGGUGGUCGUGCAGUUGUCUGACAGACU